GGCGGACGUAGCCAAGUGGAUUAAGGCAGUGGAUUG
rnacentral:tRNA from 6 species